ACCCGGCUAGCUCAGUUGGUAGUGCAUGGGACUCUUGAUCUCAGGAUUGUGGGUUUAAUCCACAUGCUGGGUG
rnacentral:tRNA from 1 species